rnacentral:rRNA from 1 species
UACGUAGGCAGCAAGCGUUGUUCGGAGUUACUGGGCGUAAAGGGUGCGUAGGCGGCUUUUUAAGUUUGGUGUGAAAUCUCCCGGCUCAACUGGGAGGGUGCGCCGAAUACUGAGAGGCUAGAGUGUGGGAGAGGAAAGUGGAAUUCCUGGUGUAGCGGUGAAAUGCGUAGAUAUCAGGAGGAACACCGGUGGUGUAAACGGCUUUCUGGACCAUAACUGACGCUGAGACACGAAAGCGUGGGUAGCAAACAGG